AUUGAACGCUGGCGGCAGGCUUAACACAUGCAAGUCGGACGGUAACAGGGAGGAAGCUUGCUUUCUUUGCUGACGAGUGGCGGACGGGUGAGUAAUGCUUGGGAAUCUGUUUUAUGGAGGGGGAUAACUACGGGAAACUGUAGCUAAUACCGCGUAAUAUCGAGAGAUUAAAGUGUGGGACCGUAAGGCCACACGCCAUAGAGUGAGCCCAAGUGGGAUUAGGUAGUUGGUGGGGUAAAGGCCUACCAAGCCGUCGAUCUCUAGCUGGUCUGAGAGGAUGACCAGCCACACUGGGACUGAGACACGGCCCAGACUCCUACGGGAGGCAGCAGUGGGGAAUAUUGCACAAUGGGCGCAAGCCUGAUGCAGCCAUGCCGCGUGAAUGAAGAAGGCCUUCGGGUUGUAAAGUUCUUUCGGUGGUGAGGAAGGUUGUAAUGUUAAUAGCAUUAUAAUUUGACGUUAGCCACAGAAGAAGCACCGGCUAACUCCGUGCCAGCAGCCGCGGUAAUACGGAGGGUGCGAGCGUUAAUCGGAAUAACUGGGCGUAAAGGGCACGCAGGCGGAUACUUAAGUGAGGUGUGAAAGCCCUGGGCUUAACCUAGGAAUUGCAUUUCAUACUGGGUAUCUAGAGUAUUUUAGGGAGGGGUAGAAUUCCACGUGUAGCGGUGAAAUGCGUAGAGAUGUGGAGGAAUACCGAAGGCGAAGGCAGCCCCUUGGGGGAAUACUGACGCUCAUGUGCGAAAGCGUGGGGAGCAAACAGG
rnacentral:rRNA from 1 species